rnacentral:pre_miRNA from 1 species
CAACCUCCGCAGGCUGGCUGGUCCCCAGGCUGGGUUGGACGAGUAUCUCUUCGAAAGGCUCACCCUCAAGCACGACUAGGAGC